AAAUUAAAUUAGCUUUUUUUAUUUAUUAUUUUUUUUUGUAAGCAGGUGUCUGAAGGAGAUUCGGUCUUGACCAGCGCUGGUGUCAACAAGGAGCUCUACAGCAUGGCCCCAGACUCUCACAUCUUCUUCAGCUGCUGUGCUAAUUGAAUCCACUCAGUGCACCCUGGGGUGUCUGAUGAGCCAGAGCCGGGAGUUGAAAGAUUGUCUAUUCAGAGAAAAGGUUGCAGUGGCUUAGAGGUGAGAGUAUCAGGUCGGUGUUUGAAAAAUAAAAAAAGCACACCAUGCAAACACAUUAAUACACAUAUGUUCACCACAAUCAUCCUUUGAUUCUACUACCUCGCUCCUGCCCUCACCACUGCACAGACCUGAGGCAGCACCUGAGGCUAAAGACUUUACAGGGCUCUGACUCCAAAGCAUCAGCAGUGGGCGGGAGAGAGGAAUCGAGGAUUAGGAAGGCGCGCUCUUUGUGUGUGUUUGUUUGUUCGUCUGUCUGUGUGCCUGUGCGUGUAUGGGAGAGAAAGCAAAAAGAGGAAGACAAACACAUGCUGUCAUCGUCCUCUCUUAAGGUGCUCCGGGGAUAUCACAAAUGCCAUUAGACUAGGCCACAUCCCUCAAGGCAGGUAUGUGGAGAGACUGUAGAAAAUUAGGAGACAAACACACAGACACAAGAAAGAGAGCAGGAAGUGUUGGGAUGCUGCCAUUCAACAUAUGUGGAACUUCACUGUCUUACCAGAGAGCCCGGGAGGUGACAUUAACUUUAUUUUUAUUUUGAAAUUUGCAUGUG
rnacentral:lncRNA from 1 species